AGAUUGAUCCUGGCUAGGGAUGAACGCUAGCUACAGGCCUAACACAUGCAAGUCGAGGGGUAACAUGAUUGGAGCUUGCUCCGAUUGAUGACGACCGGCGCACGGGUGAGUAACGCGUAUCCAACCUGCCCCAUGCUCAGGGAUAACCUUCCGAAAGGGAGCCUAAUACCUGAUGUUGUGCGACGAUGGCAUCAGAAUUGCACGAAAGAUUCAUCGGCAUGGGAUGGGGAUGCGUCUGAUUAGCUUGCCGGCGGGGUAACGGCCCACCGGGGCUACGAUCAGUAGGGGUUCUGAGAGGAAGGUCCCCCACACUGGUACUGAGACACGGACCAGACUCCUACGGGAGGCAGCAGUGAGGAAUAUUGGUCAAUGGGCGGGAGCCUGAACCAGCCAAGUAGCGUGCAGGACGACGGCCCUACGGGUUGUAAACUGCCUUUAUGAGGGGAUAAAGUGGGCUACGUGUAGCUUAUUGCAGGUACCUCAUGAAUAAGGACCGGCUAAUUCCGUGCCAGCAGCCGCGGUAAUACGGAAGGUCCGGGCGUUAUCCGGAUUUAUUGGGUUUAAAGGGAGCGUAGGCGGAAGGUUAAGCGUGACGUGAAAUGUACCGGCUCAACCGGUGAAUUGCGUCGCGAACUGGCUUUCUUGAGUGUGCUGAAAGGAAGGCGGAAUUCGUGGUGUAGCGGUGAAAUGCUUAGAUAUCACGAAGAACUCCGAUUGCGAAGCAGCUUUCC
rnacentral:rRNA from 1 species